rnacentral:rRNA from 1 species
AACGAACGCUGGCGGCAGGUCUUAGGCAUGCAAGUCGAACGGGUGUAGUAAUACACCAGUGGCGAACGAGUGAGUAACGCGUGGGAAUCUGCCCAUCUCUGGGGAAUAACGUUUGGAAACGAACGCUAAUACCGCAUACGCCCGCAAGGGGAAAGAUUUAUCGGCGAUGGAUGAGCCCGCGUUGGAUUAGUUAGUUGGUGGGGUAACGGCCUACCAAGGCGAUGAUCCAUAGCUGGUCUGAGAGGACGAUCAGCCACGCUGGAUACUGAGAUACGGUCCAGACUCAUACGGGAGGCAGCAGCUAAGAAUAUUGGGCAAUGGAGGAAACUCUGACCCAGCCAUGCCGCGUGAAUGAAGAAGGCCUUCGGGUUGUAAAGUUCUUUUAGUCGUGACGAUGAUGACGGUAGCGACAGAAAAAGCACCGGCUAACUUCGUGCCAGCCGCCGCGGUAA